UGUGUGAUACCAUCAUCGGAUGUAACAAUUGUACUUAUUCUGCUUCUCGAAUGACUCGAGAAUUUUUCGACGUUUUCGACACGUCCCACGUGAGAAGACCGUGAAAUUAAAAUUGAACGUAUUCAAUCCAUUCGCAAUGGCUCAUACCAGACGCAGAAUAAGCACAAAUGGGUCAAAUGCGCGUGAGACCCAUUGCCAUCCCCGAUAAUGGUAAUUAUGUGUUUUGGCCCUAUUUGGCUUUAUUUUCGGCAGCGGAGCGAUAAUUCUGAUGUGAUAUUAUCUUCUGAUGUGAUAUCUUUCAUUCCACAGGUGAAUAUUCCGACGAAAUCCGGUACAUCCUAAACAACAAAGGAGUCCCUCGGUUGGAAAUCGGAGGAUUUAUCUUCACUCGAAAAAAAAUUUGGAAAAACAGAACCCGGUGGUAUUGCAUUAAAAUGCAAUCGAUGGCUUGCAAGGCACGACUUUCUACCACCAACAGUGGAAAAAUAAUGAAGUAUGACGACGUUCAUAAUCAUCUACCAACCGACUGAUAAACGACAUCUAAACGGAUCUACAAUCAACGGAAGUAGAUGUCAACCAACAAUGCCAUGAAGAAUGAACUGAAUACGAAGAUCUGAUAUAAUUAGUUGGGAAUUGAUAUUAGACCGUUGAAGAAAUCCCAUAGUUUUGCAGUCUACCAAAAUACAACAAUAUAGUAGAAAUAUCGUUUGUUAUGAGCUGCCGAGGGAGAACUCAACUGAGUGUGAAUGGGCACCAUUACACGUGUGACAAAACAACCGAAGAAAUACAAUAUUGGUGCUGCACUCAGCGUAGGGUCGUGGGGUGUACGGCUCGCGCUACUACGAGCCGUAAAAAACAGGAAGGGAAACCCGUCAUCAAACUGCGUGGUUUCCACAAUCAUCUGGUGAUACAGGAACGACGCAAACCUGGGGAGUACGCAAGGCUAAGGGAGCUGUAUGACCGUGAACGAAAAGUGCUGCCUGACGCCCCUGCUCAACUUCGUUAGCACCAUCAAUGAUGAAUCUAUUUGUUCUACAUAAGGAAUAAGCAUCAUAAAACUUGUUAUUAAGUGUAAGUUCUUCUUCUUCUUAUUGG